GUAGGUGGCAAGCGUUGUCCGGAAUUAUUGUGCGUAAAGCGCGCGCAGGUGGUUCUUUAAGUCUGAUGUGAAAGCCCCCGGCUCAACCGGGGAGGGUCAUUGGAAACUGGGGAACUUGAGUGCAGGAGAGGAAAGUGGAAUUCCACGUGUAGCGGUGAAAUGCGUAGAUAUGUGGAGGAACACCAGUGGCGAAGGCGACUUUCUGGCCUGUAACUGACACUGAGGCGCGAAAGCGUGGGGAGCAAACAGGGAUUAGAUACCCUGGUAGUCCACGCCGUAAACGAUGAGUGCUAAGUGUUGGGGGGGUUUCCGCCCCCUCAGUGCUGCAGCUAACGCAUUAAGCACUCCGCCUGGGAGUACGGUCGCAAGACUG
rnacentral:rRNA from 1 species